UAUUACUAUUUUUAAAAUUAAUUCCUAAUUAAAAGUAUUCAAAAAUUUUAAAUACACUAUUUGUAAAGUUGAAGUUGUCUAAAUAAUAAUAUCUGCAUUACUGAUUUGUACAAUAGUUAAUAUUUUAAAAUGAUAAAGGCCGUUGUUGUAAAAUAUCUUGGUGAAAGAAAAAUAGUUCUUGCUAAUAAUAGCAAUAUUGCAGACUUUUUAACGAAUGUUUCUAAGAAGUUUGGUGACAUCUAUAUCAGUGGCAUCAUGUGGAAUAGAUGUGAAGUCGAUUCAGAAACAUUUGUUGCCAUUUUGAAUGAACAAAAUUUGGAAGUCGAAGUUUUACCUCCUGCAAAUAAUAAUGAGUUUGGCUCUUUUGUUCAAAGUUUAAAGGAGUUUUCUCCUGUUAAAAAUGUUUUUUCUGCUGUAGAUCUCUCUCACCCUGUUUCAUUCGAUUUUAACAACCAGCAAUCCAGCAAUCCAACCAAAACUCCUCAACUUUCAACUGCUACUAUAUUAUAUCAAGACUCUAAUUAUGAAGACAAUGUCCUUGAAGAUUUAGAGUCUACAAAUUUGUUUAUUAAAAAUUCAAGUUUAUUGUCAACUGCUGAACAAGCUUCUUUAUCAAGUGCUGAACCACCUACAUCUCAAAAAAUUAACAGAAUCCCUUUUGGUGGUGAGACUAAACAAGCUCUUAUUGAUUUUUUUCCACCUCACAUUAAACUAUUUCUGAGCAACAAGUCUUCAGUUGAAGAUAAAGUGAUAUCUAAAGAGCUAAUGUCUUGUUUAUUAGCUUUUUGUUGUUUGCAUGUGCCUAAUCAUAGCAAUUUACAAAAUAGAAUGUUGUUACGGAAAGUAUUUUUUGCAAAGUUAAAGUCUACUUGCAUUUCCUUAUAUCCUUCUUACAUCAAUAAAUGGAAUGAAUUUAAGAAGAAAAAUCCGUCGCUUUCAACACUAUCCAUUAUAAAUUGACAACUUUUUAAUAACGAGAUUUAUUUUUUUUCCAAAAAGAGUUACGUAUGCUCCUGGAUUAAUGCUGGAAGAAGCAAUUCGUUUUUACCCUAGUUUUAAAGACUCUGCUCUUAAGAUUCAAAAGAUGUUGGUUUGGAUUUCUCCUGAGUCUCAAAACCACACUGAAAAUUUAAUGCUGCUGCAGAAAUCACUCAUUUCCAAGAAGACAACUGAAAAAUUGUUUAUGAAAGUAGAUUGUGAUUCAAUACAUGAUUGUUUAAGAGUGCCAAGCCUAUAUGGUCCACAAAUUAUAUUUAAUAAAGCAGAGUAUGGUGUAAGGAGUCGAAGUGGUGUUGAGAUUGAUGUUCAGCCCUUGCUCAGUACAUGCGAAAUGGUAGUCGUUUUGAUGGCUGUUUAUUAUUUAUUAGAUUUAACAUAUCCUUCUUGUUUUGGGCAGCUUCUGGGAUGUUUGCAAGAUAUUUGCGGAUUUGGGCAAUCGGAUUUACUAUCUAAAAAAUGCAUUUUAAUUCUGCAAUCUUUUCAUAGCAAUGCAAAGUACUUUUGACUUUAUUAAUGUAAUUUUUAUCAAAGUUAAUUUCUUAAAUUCUUUUCAUGAUUAUGAAAAAUGAUUUAAUAUAAAUAUAUUAAGGUAUUAAACUGCAUGACUUAUUUUUUUAAAUUAAACUUUUAUUAAGAUAAAAAUGUUCAAGGUUAGUUUGAGGAAUUAUUUGGAAAUUAGAAAAAAUAAAAUUGAUCCCUUUUAGAGAUAUUGGCUAUAAUGGCUAUAAAAAAAAUUAAAAAUAGUGAAUUUUUAGUUAUAUAAUGCUAUUUUGUUCAGAUAUCUCAGCACCACAAAAAACAUCAAAUUUGUUUGUGCUGCAUUUAUAUUUCUGAAUUCACUGUACACUCUGUCAAUUUUCGGUCCGUAAAUUAACCAAUAAGUUCCCCGAAAUAGACUAAGUCUUUAAUAUUUGAAAUUAUUUUGAAAAAAAAAAUUAUUUAAUAUUAAGUUGAAAUUCUGAAGAAAUCUUUUUGGUCCAUAAAACCUACAGGAGGUAUACAUUUUAAGAAGAUAUAACAUUGUCACCCGAGAGGUUUUAGCUCAUUUUAUGUGGAAUGACCGUAUUAUAUGCUUAUGGUUU
rnacentral:misc_RNA from 1 species